rnacentral:lncRNA from 1 species
UCCCCAUUUCUUUUCAUUUUUCCCCAUUUCUUUGCAUUUUUCCCCAUUUCUUUGCAUUUUUUCCCCAUUUCUUUGCAUUUUUCCCCAUUUCUUUGCAUUUUUUCCCAAUCUGUCCAUGUUUUUUCCCCAAUUUCAUGUUUUUUCCCCCUCUACGUGGUUUUUCCCCUUUUUUCCCAAAUUUACGUGUUUUUUCCCUACCUCUUCAUCUUUUUCCCCACUUCUACUUCCUUUUUCCCCACCUCUACAACUUUUUCCCCCAUUUCUUCGUUUUUUCCACAUUUUUUUUAAUGUUUUUCCCCACCUCUACCUGUUUUUCCCCCAUUUCUUUGAUUUUUCCAGACCUCUGUUUUUUUCCCAGUUCUAUGUUUUUUUCCCCAGCUCUCCGUUUGUUUUUUCCCCAUUUCUUUGUUUUUUCCCCACCUCUACCUGCUUUUUCCCCAUUUCUUUAUGUUUUUCCCCCCCUCCAUGUUUUUCCCCCAUUUCUUUGGUUUUGCCCCACCUCUAUGUUUUUUUCCCCAUUUCUUUAUGCUUUUUCCUCACCUCUACGUGUUUUUUCCCCAUUUAUUUUUUUCCCAAUCUCGUCACAUUUUUUCCCCAUUUCUUCAUAUUUUUCCCGAUCUCGUCACAUUUUUCCCCCAUUCUUUUAUAUUUUUCCCAAUCUCACCACAUUUUUCCCUAUUUCUUUGUAUUUUUCCCAAUCUCAUCGCAUUUUUUCCCCAUUUCUUCAUAUUUUUCCCAAUCUCUUCACAUUUUUUCCCGUUCUUUUAUAUUUUUCCCAAUCUCACCACAUUUUUCCCCAUUUCUUUACAUUUUUCCCAAUCUCGUCACAUUUUUUCCCCAUUUCUUCAUAUUUUUCCCCACCUCGUCACAUUUUUUCCCUAUUUCUUUGUAUUUUUCCCAAUCCCGUCACAUUUUUUCCCCAUUUCUUUAUGUUUUUUCCCCACCUCGUCACAUUUUUCCCCAUCUCCUCACUCUCUCUCCAACCUCAUUACUUUUUCCCCCAUCCCUUCGCGUUUUUCCCCAUUUCUUCCCUUUUUCCCCUAUUCCCCCUCUCCCCUCCAUUACGCAUCAGGGCGGUGACUUCUUUUUUCUUUCGUUUCUCUUCGCUUUUAGCAUUGCCCAACCACCGUCUCUUUUUUCUUCUCGUUUUUGAG